rnacentral:RNase_P_RNA from 1 species
UGAGUAAGUCGGAUAGUUACGUGUGCAAACACGAGGAAAGUCCGAGCUCCACAGAGCAGGGUGCUGGAUAACACCCAGUGAAGGCGACUUUAAGGAUAGUGCAACAGAAAUAAACCGCCAUAAUUUAUUAUGGUAAGGAUGGAAAGGUGAGGUAAGAGCUCACCAGCAACUAGGUGACUAGUUGGCUAUGUAAACCCCACCUGGAGCAAGACCAAGUAGGAACUAGAAAGGGGAGCUGCUCGUUCCCUUUCCGAUGGUAGGUCGCUUGAGCCUAUUGGUAACAAUAGGCCUAGAUAGAUGACUAUUUAUUACAGAACUCGGCUUAUAGAUUUACUCAUUUG